UUGAUUUAGCGGCGGACGGGUGAGUAAUGCCUAGGAAUCUGCCUGGUAGUGGGGGAUAACGUUCCGAAAGGAACGCUAAUACCGCAUACGUCCUACGGGAGAAAGCAGGGGACCUUCGGGCCUUGCGCUAUCAGAUGAGCCUAGGUCGGAUUAGCUAGUUGGUGAGGUAAUGGCUCACCAAGGCGACGAUCCGUAACUGGUCUGAGAGGAUGAUCAGUCACACUGGAACUGAGACACGGUCCAGACUCCUACGGGAGGCAGCAGUGGGGAAUAUUGGACAAUGGGCGAAAGCCUGAUCCAGCCAUGCCGCGUGUGUGAAGAAGGUCUUCGGAUUGUAAAGCACUUUAAGUUGGGAGGAAGGGCGUUUGGCUAAUAUCCAAGCGUUUUGACGUUACCGACAGAAUAAGCACCGGCUAACUUCGUGCCAGCAGCCGCGGUAAUACGAAGGGUGCAAGCGUUAAUCGGAAUUACUGGGCGUAAAGCGCGCGUAGGUGGUUCGUUAAGUUGGAUGUGAAAGCCCCGGGCUCAACCUGGGAACUGCAUCCAAAACUGGCGAGCUAGAGUACGGUAGAGGGUAGUGGAAUUUCCUGUGUAACGGUGAAAUGCGUAGAUAUAGGAAGGAACACCAGUGGCGAAGGCGACUACCUGGACUG
rnacentral:rRNA from 1 species